rnacentral:misc_RNA from 1 species
AAGUCGUAACAAGGUCUCCGUUGGUGAACCAGCGGAGGGAUCAUUAAAGAGUUGCAAAACUCCCACAAACCAUCGCGAACAUUACCUAGACGUCGUUGCUUCGGCGGGCUCGCCCGCCGGGGGGACGCUACCAGACUCUUGCAGUUCUUCGGCCUCUCUGAGUACGAUUUUUUAAAUAAGUCAAAACUUUCAACAACGGAUCUCUUGGUUCUG